rnacentral:lncRNA from 1 species
AUGUGGGAGGGACUCCUGGAGCACACUGGGGGAUGCAGUUGCUCAGGCCACAAGGCAAGAAAAGCCACGCUAUCUCUAGCUCUAUAUCCAUGUAGACUGAGAGAUGGACAACUGGACCUACAGACAAGAGGACUGACAGAGAGUUUUGUUUAUCUAUUAUUCUGUCUUACUGCCUUCCUGUCUAUGUAUCUGUUAGUCAGUGUGUUUCUCUGCCCAUCAGUCCUUUCUGGGUAUCUAUCUCUAUUUAGUUAUGUAUGUAUGUACCUAUCUAUGUAUGUAUCAGUUUCUCAAUUGAUCUACAGUGUCUGUCAAUCAGUCUGUCCAUUGGUCUAUCCCUCUAUCUACCUUAUCAGUCACUCGAUCUUUCCCAUUCUCCUUCUCAGAUGUCCACCCAAACAUAUCAGAACAAGUGGUUGCAGGCAAGCAAAGCAUGUGAUAGUGCCCCUGUGGUGUUCAGAUGGCUCAGAAGAUGUAUGUGGUUCAAGAUUGGACGGGGAGUGGCAGACCUCCACGUUGGCCAGUGAGGCUCCAUCAUUUCUUUCCUAACGUCUUCUGAUUCGACUUUGAGACAACCCAGCACUCUGGAAUCUUUGCUGUGACUUCUCCAAUGGACAGAUGUUCCGUUCCAUCCUCCUAACGAGGUAAAGUGCUCCUAUUUUCAACUUUCCUCCUUCAACUCAAAAUGGGGACUAAGUCUGUCCUUUCUAGGUUCUCUACUUAAUGGGCCUUGGCUCCAGGUAAAUAGAAUUCUCAGGGGAGAUCAAAUAACUAGUUUUCCCUCUGCUGUAGAAUUAUUUCUCAAGUCAAUGAAAAGGAUAGGAAACAAUCCUUCUCCAGAUUCCGUACGUUGGGGACUCCUUCGUAUAUCUCUUAAAGAUGUCACCUUGAGUAAUACUUCAGUUUCUGGGCUGCAGUAAAUUCUGGUCUAGGCUUUUGGCUCCUAUGAAACCUCUUCAGGCAAAUCUUCCCUUUCAUAGGUUUUUAUCUCUUCACCCCCAUACCAGAACUGGGGGAGGGAGGGGUAAAAUCCAGGGCAUUCAUAGAAAUGUCUUAGGAAUUUCCCAGGUCUCUUUCUUUAGUAGUCAUGUGCCAAAGAUCAUCAGAAAUAAUGCACACAAAACCAUCAGUUUUCUCCACUUCGAAAGGAAAAUUAGUUCUCCUUAUUCCCUGGUCUUUUCAAACAAAAACUUAUCUAUUGAAAUGGUUGCACUCUGGAAAUUGACCUUCAAAAUGCCCCAAAUCAGGUUAUUGUAGAUGAAGCUUUUCCUUUCUCAAAAACUCAAACUGGUAACAUUUUCUCUCCAAAAACAAAACUUAGGGUUACUAAGGAAAAGGUUCAAAAUUUUCUCUAACUAGGAACACCUCUACUAUUCCCUUCCCUUUUUUCAUUUUUUACUCUAAUUUCCUUUGGGCUGCCAAUUUGUCUUUCUCUUCUCCUUGCCUCAAAGCACUUUGGCCUAUGGCUAAAGCUGCUCCUAGAGAGGAAAUUUGGGGCUCAUAUAAAAAAUGUUCAGGGUUUCCUAAGCAUUUAAAUCAAAGACUUUCC